rnacentral:rRNA from 1 species
AGUGAACGCUGGCGGUAGGCCUAACACAUGCAAGUCGAACGGCAGCACAGUAAGAGCUUGCUCUUACGGGUGGCGAGUGGCGGACGGGUGAGGAAUACAUCGGAAUCUACUUUUUCGUGGGGGGUAACGUAGGGAAACUUACGCUAAUACCGCAUACGACCUACGGGUGAAAGCAGGGGAUCUUCGGACCUUGCGCGAUUGAAUGAGCCGAUGUCGGAUUAGCUAGUUGGCGGGGUAAAGGCCCACCAAGGCGACGAUCCGUAGCUGGUCUGAGAGGAUGAUCAGCCACACUGGAACUGAGACACGGCCCAGACUCCUACGGGAGGCAGCAGUGGGGAAUAUUGGACAAAGGGCGCAAGCCUGAUCCAGCCAUACCGCGUGGGUGAAGAAGGCCUUCGGGUUGUAAAGCCCUUUUGUUGGGAAAGAAAAGCAGCAGGUUAAUACCCCGCUGUUCUGACGGUACCCAAAGAAUAAGCACCGGCUAACUUCGUG